rnacentral:misc_RNA from 1 species
UUUCCGUAGGUGAACCUGCGGAAGGAUCAUUAACGGGUAAGGGUCAUUCUGGCCGGACGCCCAACCCUUUGUUUAAUCACUAUGUUGCUUUGUCGGGCCCGUUUCACGAACGCCGGCAGUCCUCGGACUUCUCGCCCGUGCCCGGCAAUAGCCUGCUACAAACUCUUGACCAAUUGUGAUGUAUGAGUAAUAAAUUUAAUAGUUAAAACUUUCAACAACGGAUCUCUUGGUUCUG